CACACACAGUCCCAGUCUGCAUACUUGUUUGGACUCAACAAGUGCAGAGUUAUAUAUACUUUCUUGAUAUCUACUGAUCUGUGGAUUGGCAAAUUCCAGAAAAGCACCAGGAAGGGCCCUUUCCUGAGAAUGAAAGUACUUGCUCAUCACUGGGUCAUGGCAACUUCAGUGAGUUUGCCCAAGGAGACCAGAGAUGGGAAACAGUUAAUAUAGUCUUUAGAUCCUGUAUUCCUCCUGAAAUCUGGCUGCUACCCAGAAAGUGUUCAUAAAAGAUGUGUACCACCUCCAAACCCUCUGAAAUGACUUGGUGAAAGGAGUGCUAAGCAUCACUGUGAAAUUUAGAAAUCACUGACAG